rnacentral:tRNA from 1 species
GAAGGGGUUCCCGAGUGGCCAAAGGGAGCAGACUGUAAAUCUGCCGGCACUGCCUUCGAUGGUUCGAAUCCGUCCCCCNYCM